rnacentral:rRNA from 1 species
UGGGGAAUCUUCCGCAAUGGGCGAAAGCCUGACGGAGCAAUACCGCGUGAGGGAGGAAUGCCUUUGGGUUGUAAACCUCUUUUCUCAGGGAAGAAGAUCUGACGGUACCUGAGGAAUAAGUAUCGGCUAACUCCGUGCCAGCAGCCGCGGUAAUACGGAGGAUGCAAGCGUUAUCCGGAAUCAUUGGGCGUAAAGCGCCCGCAGGUGGUUUCCAAAGUCUGCUGUUAAAGACUGGAGCUCAACUCCGGGACGGCGGUGGAAACUUGGAAACUAGAGGUCGGUAGGGGUAGCAGGAAUUCCCAGUGUAGCGGUGAAAUGCGUAGAUAUUGGGAAGAACAUCGGUGGCGAAGGCGUGCUACUGGACCGUAACUGACACUCAGGGACGAAAGCUGGGGAGCGAAAGGGAUUAGAUACCCCUGUAGUCCUAGCUGUAAACGAUGGAAACUAGGUGUGGCUUGA